rnacentral:rRNA from 1 species
AGCAGCCGCGGUAAUUCCAGCUCCAAUAGCGUAUAUUAAAGUUGUUGCAGUUAAAAAGCUCGUAGUUGAAUUUCGGGACCAAUUUGUUGGUCGUGCCUCGGUACGUACUGAUAUUAUUGGUUUCUCCCUUUUGAAGAACCUCGAUGCCAUUAAUUUGGUGUCGUGGGGAAUCAGGACUGUUACUUUGAAAAAAUUGAGUGUUUAAAGCAGGCAUACGCUUGAAUACAUUAGCAUGGAAUAAUGAAAUAGGACGUUUGAUUCUAUUUUGUUGGUUUCUAGGAUCGACGUAAUGAUUAAUAGGGAUAGUUGGGGGCAUUAGUAUUCAAUUGUCAGAGGUGAAAUUCUUGGAUUUAUUGAAAGACUAACUACUGCGAAAGCAUUUGCCAAGGNUGUUUUCAUUAAUCAAGAACGAAGUUAGGGAUCGAAGACGAUCAGAUACCGUCGUAGUCUUAACCAUAAACUAUGCCGAUAGGGAUCGGGAUGGAUGUUUAAUUUUUAAUGUACUCAUUCGGCGCCUUAA